GGUUGAUCCUGCCAGUAGUCAUAUGCUUGUCUCAAAGAUUAAGCCAUGCAUGUCUAAGUAUAAACCUCUAUACGGUGAAACUGCGAAUGGCUCAUUAAAUCAGUUAUCGUUUAUUUGAUAGUGCCUUACUACAUGGAUAACCGUAGUAAUUGUAGAGCUAAUACAUGCUAAAAGGGGCGACUUCGGGAGCCUCGUAUUUAUUAGAUUAAAAACCAACACACCGCAAGGUGUUCUCCUGGUGAUUCAUAAUAACUUUGCGAAUCGCGUGCCCUUGUUGGCGGCGAUGCUUCAUU
rnacentral:rRNA from 1 species